CUCAAAGGAAUUGACGGGGGCCCGCACAAGCAGCGGAGCAUGCGGCUUAAUUCGAUGCAACGCGAAGAACCUUACCUAGACUUGACAUAUACGGAAAACAUGCAGAGAUGUAUGGUCCUAACGGGCCGUUUACAGGUGGUGCAUGGUUGUCGUCAGCUCGUGUCGUGAGAUGUUGGGUUAAGUCCCGCAACGAGCGCAACCCUCGUUCUAUGUUGCCAGCACGUAACGGUGGGGACUCAUAGGAGACUGCCGGGGUCAACUCGGAGGAAGGUGGGGAUGACGUCAAAUCAUCAUGCCCCUUAUGUCUAGGGCUGCACGCAUGCUACAAUGGCUGGUACAAAGGGCUGCGAUACCGCAAGGUGGAGCGAAUCCCAAAAAGCCAGUCUCAGUUCGGAUUGGGGUCUGCAACUCGACCCCAUGAAGUUGGAGUUGCUAGUAAUCGCAGAUCAGCAACGCUGCGGUGAAUACGUUCCCGGGCCUUGUACACACCGCCCGUCACGUCACGAAAUCGGUAACACCCGAAGCCGGUGGCCUAACCGUAAGGAAGGAGCCGUCGAAGGU
rnacentral:rRNA from 1 species